rnacentral:ncRNA from 2 species
UUACAUUAACAGGGGUGGUGAUUAGCCUGAGAUUAUACCCUUUGAACCUGAUCCGGGUAAUGCCGGCGGAGGGAGCAGAUGGUUAUUUCAC